AAAUUGAAGAGUUUGAUCAUGGCUCAGAUUGAACGCUGGCGGCAGGCCUAACACAUGCAAGUCGAGCGGUAGCACAGAGAGCUUGCUCUCGGGUGACGAGCGGCGGACGGGUGAGUAAUUUCUGGGAAACUGCCUGAUGGAGGGGGAUAACUACUGGAAACGGUAGCUAAUACCGCAUAAUGUCGCAAGACCAAAGUGGGGGACCUUCGGGCCUCAUGCCAUCAGAUGUGCCCAGAUGGGAUUAGCUAGUAGGUGGGGUAACGGCUCACCUAGGCGACGAUCCCUAGCUGGUCUGAGAGGAUGACCAGCCACACUGGAACUGAGACACGGUCCAGACUCCUACGGGAGGCAGCAGUGGGGAAUAUUGCACAAUGGGCGCAAGCCUGAUGCAGCCAUGCCGCGUGUGUGAAGAAGGCCUUCGGGUUGUAAAGCACUUUCAGCGGGGAGGAAGGCGUUAAGGUUAAUAACCUUGGCGAUUGACGUUACCCGCAGAAGAAGCACCG
rnacentral:rRNA from 1 species